rnacentral:rRNA from 1 species
UCUUCUUUGCGAGUUCGAAUCAAUAAGAGGGGUUGCGACCUCGAUGUUGGAUUAAGAUUUUACCUAGGUGCAGUAGCUUAGGAAAAAGGUCUGUUCGACCUUUAAACUC